rnacentral:rRNA from 1 species
AACGAACGCUGGCGGCAGGCCUAACACAUGCAAGUCGAACGCUUCAGCAAUGAAGAGUGGCAGACGGGUGAGUAACGCGUGGGAACCUUCCCAGUGGUACGGAAUAGCCCAGGGAAACUUGGGGUAAUACCGUAUAAGCCCUUCCGGGGGAAAGAGUUUAUCGCCAUUGGAUGGGCCCGCGUCGGAUUAGCUUAUUGGUGAGGUAAAAGCUCACCAAGGCGACGAUCCGUAGCUGGUCUGAGAGGAUGAUCAGCCACACUGGGACUGAGACACGGCCCAGACUCCUACGGGAGGCAGCAGUGGGGAAUAUUGGACAAUGGGCGCAAGCCUGAUCCAGCCAUGCCGCGUGAGUGACGAAGGCCUUAGGGUUGUAAAGCUCUUUUGGCGGGGACGAUAAUGACGGUACCCGCAGAAUAAGCUCCGGCUAACUUCGUG